rnacentral:rRNA from 1 species
UACAGAGGGUGCAAGCGUUAAUCGGAAUUACUGGGCGUAAAGCGCGCGUAGGCGGCUGCUUAAGUCGGAUGUGAAAUCCCCGGGCUUAACCUGGGAACUGCAUUCGAUACUGAGCAGCUAGAGUAUGAGAGAGGGAGGUAGAAUUCCACGUGUAGCGGUGAAAUGCGUAGAUAUGUGGAGGAAUACCGGUGGCGAAGGCGGCCUCCUGGCUUAAUACUGACGCUGAGGUGCGAAAGCGUGGGGAGCAAACAGG